rnacentral:rRNA from 1 species
UUAAAGGAAUUGACGGAAGGGCACCACCAGCAGUGGGGCCUGCGGCUUAAUUUGACUCAACGCGGGGUAUCCUACUAGGCCCGGACACUCGAAGGAUUGACAGAUUGAGAGCUCUUUCUUGAUUGGGUGCGUGGUGGUGCAUGGCCGUUCUUCGUUGGUGGUGUGAAUUGUCUGCUUAAUUGCGAUAACGAACGAGACUCUGGCCUGCUAACUAGUCGAUACCGGCAUCCGUUGUGCAGCCGGCGACUAUAAGUCUUCUUAGAGGGACAAGUGGUGUAUAGCCACACGAGAUUGAGCAAUAACAGGUCUGUAAUGCCCUUAGAUGUCCUGGGCCGCACGCGCGCCACACUGAAGGGAUCAGCGUGUGUUUUCCUAGUCCGAGAGGACCGGGUAACCCGUUGAACCUCCUUCGUGCUAGGGAUUGGGACUUGAAAUUAUUUCCCACGAACGAGGAAUUCCUAGUAAGCGCGAGUCAUAACCUCGCGUUGAUUAUGUCCCUGCCCUUUGUCCACACCGCCCGUCGCUACUACCGAUUGAAUGAUUUAGUGAGGUCUUCGGACCAGUGCGCGGCUUUCGGAAUUUUUUCCGAAGACCGAUGCUACCGGAAAGAUGACCGAACUUGAUCAUUUAGAGGAAGUAAAAGUCGUAACAAGGUUCCC